rnacentral:lncRNA from 1 species
UUCGGCCUUGGUGCAAGGUGCUGACCGCGAUACCCAGGUGCUGUGUAAUGUCUCAGGAUGCAGAAGGUGAAUAGCCACUUUCCAGCUCUGCUCAGCUGGACAGGAUCAAGAGAAUGGCAUCCAAGUAGCAGUGUUCUUCCCUAAAUCUGUAAGCUCUUUUCAGCAUUCCUGUUGUGCAGACUGCUGUUUUGUUCCAACACAGUAUAGGUGAGUUUAAAUU